rnacentral:rRNA from 1 species
GAUGACGGCCUUCGGGUUGUAAACCUCUUUCAGCAGGGACGAAGCGAGAGUGACGGUACCUGCAGAAGAAGGACCGGCCAACUACGUGCCAGCAGCCGCGGUAAUACGUAGGGUCCGAGCGUUGUCCGGAAUUAUUGGGCGUAAAGGGCUCGUAGGCGGUUUGUCACGUCGGGAGUGAAAACUCGGGGCUUAACCCCGAGCCUGCUUCCGAUACGGGCAGACUAGAGGUAGGCAGGGGAGAGCGGAACUCCUGGUGUAGCGGUGGAAUGCGCAGAUAUCAGGAAGAACACCGGUGGCGAAGGCGGCUCUCUGGGCCUUACCUGACGCUGAGGAGCGAAAGCGUGGGUAGCGAACAGGAUUAGAUACCCUGGUAGUCC